GCCGGAGAAGCACACGUCGGACGUGCGCCAAGUCUGUACCUUGGAGGACGGGGGUUCAAUUCCCUCCUCCGGCUC
rnacentral:tRNA from 1 species